UACGUAGGGUGCGAGCGUUAAUCGGAAUUACUGGGCGUAAAGCGUGCGCAGGCGGCUUUGCAAGACAGAUGUGAAAUCCCCGGGCUCAACCUGGGAACUGCAUUUGUGACUGCAAGGCUAGAGUACGGCAGAGGGGGAUGGAAUUCCGCGUGUAGCAGUGAAAUGCGUAGAUAUGAGGAGGAACACCAAUGGCGAAGGCAAUCCCCUGGGCCUGUACUGACGCUCAUGCACGAAAGCGUGGGGAGCAAACAGG
rnacentral:rRNA from 1 species